CCUACGGGUGGCAGCAGUGAGGAAUAUUGGUCAAUGGACGAGAGUCUGAACCAGCCAAGUAGCGUGAUGGAUGACUGCCCUAUGGGUUGUAAACUUCUUUUAUAUGGGAAUAAAAUGUUCCACGUGUGGGAUUUUGUAUGUACCAUAUGAAUAAGGAUCGGCUAACUCCGUGCCAGCAGCCGCGGUAAUACGGAGGAUCCGAGCGUUAUCCGGAUUUAUUGGGUUUAAAGGGAGCGUAGGUGGAUUGUUAAGUCAGUUGUGAAAGUUUGCGGCUCAACCGUAAAAUUGCAGUUGAAACUGGCAGUCUUGAGUACAGUAGAGGUGGGCGGAAUUCGUGGUGUAGCGGUGAAAUGCUUAGAUAUCACGAAGAACUCCGAUUGCGAAGGCAGUUCACUGGACUGCAACUGACACUGAGGCUCGAAAGUGUGGGUAUCAAACAGGAUUAGAUACCCUUGUAGUC
rnacentral:rRNA from 1 species